rnacentral:misc_RNA from 1 species
AGAACUCGCAAGCAGGUUUCAUGUCCACAGAAACUUUACUUCUGGUCCUUCUAUUUUAUUAUUUUUUUAAUUUUAUAAAAAAAACUGUAAAAUUUUCUGUUCUCAAUUAUUAGCGAUGCUGUUGCCUACUUGCUGCUUUGGUAUAAAGAAGGAAUCGUAUUGUGAUUUGCGAAAGAUAAAGAACACCUCAUUUUGGAUUUUUUUUUCCAAAGAAUGGGAAUGAAAGCA